rnacentral:lncRNA from 1 species
AAAAUAAUAUUAUAUAAAUGAAGAGUCUAGAGAAGGCAGUUCAUUACUUAUAUUGAACGCGAUCCACAACAAAUCCAAUUAAUCUCACAAAUUUCUUACAGAACCUAAUAUCCAAAAAUCAUAUUUUCUUUUAAAAUUAAUCAUAAUAUAUAUAAAACUUAAAUUUUAACAUUCUUCCAGGGCCGACCCUGCAGAAGUAUCUAGCACCCCGGGUUCGGAUUCAGAUUCGGGUUCAUACCCGUAAACCACCCUCCUCCUUUUAUUUUAUUAUUAUUGUUUUCUUUCUUUCUUUCUUUUCUUUUUCUUUCUUUUCUUUUCUUUUUUUUCUUUUCUUUUUCUUUUCCUUCUCUUUUCUUUUCUUUCCUUUCCUUUUCUUUUUCCUUCUCCGAAGCUUCCUCUCCUUCCUUUUUUUUUCGUUUUCUUCUUCUUCUCUUCCCCUCUUCUCCUGCGACCAUGGAGGGGAAGGCGCGACCCCAUGCCGAGGCUCGGAAGGGGCGGCGGCCUGAGGUCGGCGG